CCCUUCAGAGGGGGACAACAGUUGGAAACGACUGCUAAUACCGCAUACGAUCUGACCUCGGCAUCGAGGAUAGAUGAAAGGUGGCCUCUACAUGUAAGCUAUCACUGAAGGAGGGGAUUGCGUCUGAUUAGCUAGUUGGAGGGGUAACGGCCCACCAAGGCGAUGAUCAGUAGCCGGUCUGAGAGGAUGAACGGCCACAUUGGGACUGAGACACGGCCCAG
rnacentral:rRNA from 1 species